rnacentral:tRNA from 1 species
GCGCUAGUGGCGGAAUUGGUAGACGCGCUGGUUUUAGGUACCAGUAUCUUAGGAUGUGUAAGUUCAAGUCUUACCUGGCGCACCA